UUAUUUAUUUUUAUGGGAUUUUCCUGCACCCUUUGAAGAGCAGGGUUCAUUAUCCCCAUUUUACAGAUGGGCAAACAGAGGCCUGGAGAAACAUAGGGAUUCAGCCAAGGCAGCUGGGGCCUGAGUUGGGAUACCCAGGUACCCAGGCUGUCAGUCCAGAGUGAUCCAAAGAGAGGUCUCGGUGAUCCUGUGGAUUACUAGACCCACUCACAAACAAGAAGCAUGGAAGGUCAGGGUGGGUGGGAGGGAAAACAGGUGAGACCAUGAAUAGAGAAAGCAGUAAGGGGGUGGCUUUAUUAAACUGAAGGGCAGACUUGGGAUGUAAUUGGGUUCUGGAUGUGGGCUAAUGUUAGAGCUGGGGUAAAGUUUGGGGUUAGUUGAAUUAUGAAUAAGGUUGAGGUCGGAUUUGAGGUUGCGAUUCGAGCUAAGGUUGGGAUUAGGGUUAGAAAUACAGCCAGAAUUGAGGCUAAGGUUUAUGGCUGGGAUUUGUGUUACAACAAGGAAUAAAGUUUUAGUUUCAUUUACAGCUCUGCCUGGGGAUACAGUUAAGGCUAAGUCAAAGGAUGGGUUUAGAUUGAUUUAGGAUUGGGGCGACCAUUGGGUUAGAACUGAGCUUGAGACUCACAUUGAAAUAGGCUACGGUUAGGGUUGGAACAUGAUUUAAAGACAUGUAAGCAGCGGGAGUUGAUGAGAAUUGAAGAUGAGGUUUUAUUUCUGUUAUAGACAGACUUCAGCCUCCAUCUGCUCAAUCCAGGUUUGGCUAGAAUUGUCACCCCUUAGUGUGGGGAGACUACCAGUGGCACAUGUUGACUGGGGUCUCAAGACUUUGAGGAGGAAGCCAAAGGUACACGAGCCCAUCUAAGGGGUAUGAGACCACCAAAUCCCGUAGUGCACGGACCUCUGAAGUCCUGCUCCACUACCAAGCUCACCAGCUGGCCAAGCUCCAGGAAAAGCAUUUAGGGAGGAGAUGCAGGAAGCUACUGACGAUGAAUGGGGCUCUGACACCAAACCGAACUAGAACAUGGGGUCCAUCAGAGGGAGUCUUACUGGGUGGGGAGGAGGGGUGGUCUGCGUUUGGAGUCCUUAGGAGACGGGAUUUAGGACAAACUAAGGGCCUACAUGCUCCUAGAACAGCCGCUUUAUGGUCCACCACAUGGGGGUCCUUCAAAGCCUGGAAGGGCAGAGUGCCAUGUUGCUCCCCUUGGCCUUCUGAGGCUUAAUUGCUACCUCCUUGCUAUUUGAAUCCUGUAAAAGAAGCUGUCAGCCUUCCAGCCCUGUGCCCUGAGCCCUGCAGGGAUUUCAGGGCGGUGGGGAGGCUGCGGAGGGAGUGAAGGCACUGGGGUGUCAGCACAGUUUCCAUAGCAUAUGUCGCGAUCCCACGGUCCCCUCUCUCCGGGAGCAGCCAGGGUCUGUGAUUCUCUCUGGGCCUUAUCCUCAGCAGUGGAAGAGGGCCCCGCUCCUAAGAAGACCCCAUCCCAACUCCUCCCUCUCAUUUUUCCCGACCCGGUCUCCACCCCAAACACCUCACUUCCCCACCCACUUCCUUUUCAGGUUUUAUAAAGGUCUGGAUCUAGGAGACUACUGGGGUUCCCUCUGUGGCCCCAGAGAGAGAGAGAAGAAAGAGACUGGGAGAGACAGUGAUGCGUUAUAGGGCAGAGACAGAGACUGGGACAGAGACAGAAACACACGUGGUCUAAAUGGCCCCUCCAGAGGCUCAGAGGGAGACAGAGGAGGCAGAGGGCCCAGGCCGUGAGCUGAGUCUCAACACCAAUUUCCAAAAGGGCCCCUUGCUUUUUCCUGAGAAAUCCGUGACUCUCCAGGGAAGAACGGCCCUGGUUUGGGUGGUAUUAGCUUCUAUUCUAAGACAAUCACAGAAAAUCAGAGACAGGCCUAGAAAGGGGUAAACAGGGAGAUACAGGAGGUAGAAAGAGGCUGGACAGAAACCCAGGGAAGUCCAGAGACUGCUUCCAAGAUGAGUGCAGCCCAGCCCCAGAACAUUUUCGGGAAGGGCAGGCAGAGGGCUUGGCCUGCCUACUCUUCCUCCAAAGUCCCUUUCACGGCAACGCCACCCAACUCCCCUAAGCCCUGCCCUCCUCUGCCUGGACCUGCCCACCCCAACCCCUCUCCAGGCCGCCAGACUCCCUGGGCUCAGGCUUAGUCAAGCUCCCCAAUCCCUAGCUUGGCUGGCACUGCAACUUGACUCUCUAGGCUCCUCCCCACGCAGUCAGCAAGCUCCUCAGCCCCCUCUCCCAAGUCCCCACGCAGCCCAGGGCUCGCCCUGCAGCACCCAGGGAGGAGCUGUCCUGCAGAGGAAACCUCUGAGGCAAGACCCUGGGAGCAGCAGCCGUGAGAGACUAUGGAUAGGCAGAGAGUCGCAGAGAAGCCAAGGAGCCUUGCAGCUGCUGUCCAUCCACCCGGCUUUCAGUGACGCUUUGGAGGUGGAGGUCUGCCAGAAAAAGCGGGAUUCUAGGAAGAGCCUGGAUAUGCCCACAUCUCCCCCACCAAGCAGUGUCCUGAAGCUGACAGAAGAGCAAGCAGCAGACACACAGUCCCCAUCAAGUAAAGGAGUGGCUGGCGCUGUCACUACAUCCGCAAAGCACAAGAGCAAAGGGAGGCGAUUGAACGCCACCCACUGAACUGUUAGCAAGACAUGAGUGGACGCACGAAGAAAUCGCUUGAAAAGUGUGAUUUCCUGAUGACAGACCUGAGCAGGAAUGAAGAGACUGAAGAUAAAGGUGUCUUCACCUCGCCAAGAUCAGUCACAUCCUGCAGAACCUCCGUUCAUUCAGCAAGCAGCCAGGCUUUAUGCUAGGCCCUGGGGAAAUGGCAAUUAAGGAGACUGGGUCUCUGUUCUUACAGAAAACCCCAUCUGAUGGGGAAAUGGCUCCUGGCCCUCAAUGUGGUGGUAAGCUGCAGUAAUGCAUGGGAGGCCCCUGGCCUAGUGGCAAUGAUGUUUAAGCCGAGAUCUGAAGGAUAAGUAACAAUGGCAUGCCAGAGAAAGGAGAAGGGGGUGGAGCCAAGUGGCCAGGGGAAUAUUUCUGGGCUCGGUAAGUAAGCCAGGUCCCUGCCAGAUGGGGAAUGAGAAGAGCAAAGCCAGGAGUGACCGCUGAUGAUUAUUUUUUAACUGAGGAAGGAAGAUCCUUGAGAACCCAACCUCUUGGGACCUUCUACCCAGAACACCAGAGCACCUCACAGGGAUCAGAGCCAGGCCCUUGAGUGGAUUAAGUAACCAAAAUUGAUUGUCCUGAACCAUGUGUCUGUCUGUUUACGGAGAGAGAAACUGUGAUGAAUUAAUCCACAGGUCCAAUGGGACUUUGACUUAAUUUGUAGAAAUAAAAUUGGCUUUUGAUUUUG